rnacentral:lncRNA from 1 species
UGGUCUUUCAAAAUUUGUCAAUGACAUGUCAUAGUAUUGUUGGUCUUGGGAGAUAAACAGAUUUAAAAUUUAAGAGUUUUUUUAAAAAAAAUCAUUUUCGAAUUUUAACACAUUUUUAAAUGGUUGCUAUGGAAACAAACUAUUUAGUAAAUUCAAAAUUUUAACGUUUUUGUAGAGUUUGGGGUUUUGUUUGUCAAUACUGUAAAUAUACAUAUUGUUUGUAUUGAUUAACUUUAUUUCUAUGGUUCUUUAAAAUCCCUUAUAUUUCAUUUUUCAAAGGCUACUUAUUUGCGUUUUUAGGCAAAAUUUUGUAAGGAUGGUUUCCAUGGCAACCAAGGUUCAAAAGAAAAAAAAUAAUACAUAAAACUUAUUUUCAUACCUUACCUUCUUCAUAAACAAAAAAUAAAGUCAUGAAUAGCCUAUCAACAGGAACCUGCAUGAUUCUUUCAAAGACCG